UACGUAGGGGGCAAGCGUUGUCCGGAUUCAUUGGGCGUAAAGAGCGUGUAGGCGGCCAGGUAGGUCGGUUGUGAAAACUGGAGGCUCAACCUUCAGACGUCGACCGAAACCAUCUGGCUAGAGUCCGGGAGAGGAGAGUGGAAUUCCUGGUGUAGCGGUGAAAUGCGCAGAUAUCAGGAAGAAUAUCCGUGGCGAAGGCGGCUCUCUGGGACGGUACUGACGCUGAGACGCGAAAAGCGUGGGGAGCGAACAGG
rnacentral:rRNA from 1 species